rnacentral:rRNA from 1 species
CCUACGGGAGGCUGCAGUGAGGAAUAUUGGUCAAUGGACGAGAGUCUGAACCAGCCAAGUAGCGUGAAGGAUGACUGCCCUAUGGGUUGUAAACUUCUUUUAUAUGGGAAUAAAACGUUCCACGUGUGGGAUUUUGUAUGUACCAUAUGAAUAAGGAUCGGCUAACUCCGUGCCAGCAGCCGCGGUAAUACGGAGGAUCCGAGCGUUAUCCGGAUUUAUUGGGUUUAAAGGGAGCGUCGGUGGAUUGUUAAGUCAGUUGUGAAAGUUUGCGGCUCAACCGUAAAAUUGCAGUUGAAACUGGCAGUCUUGAGUACAGUAGAGGUGGGCGGAAUUCGUGGUGUAGCGGUGAAAUGCUUAGAUAUCACGAAGAACUCCGAUUGCGAAGGCAGUUCACUGGACUGCAACUGACACUGAGGCUCGAAAGUGUGGGUAUCAAACAGGAUUAGAUACCCCAGUAGUC